AGAGUUUGAUCCUGGCUCAGAUUGAACGCUGGCGGUAUGCUUAACACAUGCAAGUCGAACGGCAGCACGGACUGUAGCAAUACAGUUGGGUGGCGAGUGGCGGACGGGUGAGUAACACGUAGGAAUCUGCCCUGUAGAGGGGGAUAACCCGAGGAAACUCGGGCUAAUACCGCAUAAUAUCUACGGAUUAAAGCUGGGGUUAAACCUGGCGCUAUGGGAGGAGCCUGCGUCUGAUUAGCUAGUUGGCGGGGUAAAAGCCCACCAAGGCGACGAUCAGUAGGUGGUCUGAGAGGAUGAUCACCCACACUGGGACUGAGACACGGCCCAGACUCCUACGGGAGGCAGCAGUGGGGAAUAUUGGACAAUGGGGGCAACCCUGAUCCAGCAAUACCGCGUGUGUGAAGAAGGCCUUAGGGUUGUAAAGCACUUUAGGCGGGGAAGAAGGUUGGUAGUUUAAGAGAUGACUAACUUGACGGUACCCGCAGAAUAAGCACCGGCUAACUCUGUGCCAGCAGCCGCGGUAAUACAGAGGGUGCAAGCGUUAAUCGGAAUUACUGGGCGUAAAGGGCGCGUAGGUGGUUGUAUAAGUGAGAUGUGAAAUCCCCGGGCUUAACCUGGGACGUGCAUCUUAAACUGUAUAACUGGAGUGCAGUAGAGGGUAGUGGAAUUUCCGGUGUAGCGGUGAAAUGCGUAGAUAUCGGAAGGAACACCAGUGGCGAAGGCGGCUACCUGGACUGAGACUGACACUGAGGCGCGAGAGCGUGGGGAGCAAACAGGAUUAGAUACCCUAGUAGUCC
rnacentral:rRNA from 1 species